AUGAGCUAAAUAGAUAUGGAUAUACAUAUACAGCUAAAUAGAUAUACAUAUGAAUACCACGGAUAUAUAUAAGCGUUUACGGCUUGCCUUUGACCAGCCCCCUGACACACGCUGCUAAAAGUGGUUCGCAAGAUGUCCCUCGAUUCUGCCGCCAAUUUCCACCACUAGCGAGCGAACGUGUCACAAGUCUACUAGCGCCACGUAGAGGAACUAAAAAACGGGGACAAAACGCGUACAAUUUUUUAAGUAUGCGAGCAGUGGCGAGUGUCAGGGACCUGCCUUUGACGGAUCGUUGUUGUUAUUGUAUAGGUUAGGUCAGAAGGUAGCCAAUAAUUUUCCACAACGAUAUUUUUAAUUGAAUAAUGAGUGAGAAUAAUAUACAACAUGCCUUAUUGUGUAGCUCCUAAGUGCAAAAACAGAUCUUUUACAAAACCCAAAAAUCAAUGUGAGAUUGAAGUAGAGAAUAAGACUACAUUUCAUCUUUAAGUAUAAGUAACGCUUCUGGAACUGUAAAUAAUGUCAAUGCUGUAAUACCGAGUAAUGUACUUAAUUCUAUAUUCAUUCAAGUUUUCCGAAGAAUAUUGAGAGGCGUAGGAUAUGGAUUGAUAAGAUGGGGUUGACGAACGUAAGUAUGCUAAAGUAUGCUUAUUUGGGCAUUUCUCCACUAAAUGGAAAAUCGCUGUCAUAAGCUAAAUUUAUGAAAUAAAUCUUAAAAUUUCUCAGUUUGUUGUAUCAAUACCGACAUAGAAUUAGGUAUUCUUGGCACGCCAUAGCUUAUUUAGGAAUUUAAUAAUGGAAUAUUCGAAUAAAUGAACCUCAGACGUCUCAAAACACAGUCCCCUGGUACGUCCCUUUUCCAGAAUUACAAAUCUUGUUACAAAUAUUUAUUUUUGUGCCGUUGAUAAUUGAAUAAAAAAUAUCCAAAUACAUUAACAAAAAUAGUUAGCAUCUUUAUACAUCACAAUUAUAUUUUUACAAUAGAAUUUUAAUUAAAAUAUCCAUGUGUGAAUGCUGUCCUCAAAUUAUUAAAACAGUCCCUUGUUAAAACUUUAAAACCGCGCUGAAGUCAUAUUUAGUUUUGGCGCGAAGUAUUUAGAUUGCGAAACGGAACGCAAUCGGUGUGAAGUUUGUUCGGUUGUGUCGCUAGCGGGCAGCCAUCAUUUUGUUUGGUGCUACUACUGCGUCUUCUGGUGAACCACGCGUCUCGGCCAUUAGUAAAAACAUUCCCCUGGUAUUAUCUCAAAAUGCCACCGAAAAAGAAGUCACCCAGAACAAGAGAAGAAAUACUUGAACAAAAACGUAUAGCUGAGCGUUUGAGAUAUCAACGACUUAAAUAUGACCCUCAAAAAAAAGAAGAAUUGAAAGAUAAAGAAAGGCAGAAGUAUCAACAGAAAAAAGAAAAAGGUAAAAGAAAAUUAGUUAAAGAUAUGAGUCGUCGUGAGCAUAAGGCUGUAAAAAAGGUUUGCAAGAGCAUUGUUCUAAGUAUCGUGUAAAAAAAAAAAAGUCAUGCAACUAACAGUAACUUUUAUGAAAAUUUGUGAUAAGAAGGGCCACAAGUUUAGAAUG